rnacentral:rRNA from 1 species
UACGUAGGGUGCAAGCGUUGUCCGGAAUCAUUGGGCGUAAAGCGCGCGUAGGUGGCUUCAUAAGUCCGUUGUGAAAGUCAAAGGCUCAACCUUUGAAAGCCGAUGGAUACUGUGAAGCUAGAGUACGGAAGAGGCGAGUGGAAUUCCUGGUGUAGCGGUGGAAUGCGCAGAUAUCAGGAGGAACACCAAUAGCGAAGGCAGCUCGCUGGGACGUUACUGACACUGAGGCGCGAAAGCGUGGGGAGCGAACAGG